ACACUCCUGCGGGAGGCAGCAGUGGGGAAUUUUGGACAAUGGGCGAAAGCCUGAUCCAGCCAUGCCGCGUGCAGGAUGAAGGCCUUCGGGUUGUAAACUGCUUUUGUACGGAACGAAACGGCCUUUUCUAAUAAAGAGGGCUAAUGACGGUACCGUAAGAAUAAGCACCGGCUAACUACGUGCCAGCAGCCGCGGUAAUACGUAGGGUGCAAGCGUUAAUCGGAAUUACUGGGCGUAAAGCGUGCGCAGGCGGUUAUGUAAGACAGUUGUGAAAUCCCCGGGCUCAACCUGGGAACUGCAUCUGUGACUGCAUAGCUAGAGUACGGUAGAGGGGGAUGGAAUUCCGCGUGUAGCAGUGAAAUGCGUAGAUAUGCGGAGGAACACCGAUGGCGAAGGCAAUCCCCUGGACCUGUACUGACGCUCAUGCACGAAAGCGUGGGGAGCAAACAGGAUUAGAUACCCCGGUAGUCCCAUGA
rnacentral:rRNA from 1 species